AAGUAUUAGAGGCAAUGCCUGCC
rnacentral:piRNA from 1 species